CAAAUCACCACCGCACCACCUGUUCACAAAUGCGCACGUUAGCUGUCUCUCCACAAUCAUCACCACCCUCCAAUUCCAUGCAUUUAAUAUUUAUAUUAUUAUAUUAUAUUAUUUAUUAUUUUGUUCCUCUAAUGCUCCCUCUCUAUCCGUAGCUUAACCUACGCUACGUUUCAGGCCUCACUGUCCUCUACUCUGUGCCUUCUCAUUACUGUCCUCUGCCUUUAAAUGGAUCUGCGUGCCCUCUGCAAAUUUUCCUUCUAAUAGACUCCAUUUAGUCCCGUUUCGUUUCCGAUCUUAUGUCAUUUCCGAAACGUUUCGCUUCUUUGAGUUCCGAUCGGCUCCUGCAUUUCCUCUCUGACCUCAACUACGCCGAAUCGGAGCUCCUGCAGCUCUCCUUGUGUGAUCAGUGCUUGUUGUCUCGUGCAUUUGCGUGAUCGAUGCUUUGUUAGUUAACGAGAUGAAUCCUCUCUGCUGCAUUGCUCCGGUUUCCAUCGAUCGGGAUCGGGCUAACCCAGUGGUGGAGAAAUCUGAUAACCAGUCUCAGUUAGGUCUUGAAGUUGCUGAUAAAACAGUCAACCAGUGCUCCAAACCUAGUUUCUCAGCUCAGGUAUCGUCGGUCGGUACUGAUUUGGAUAGGUAUGCCGCCGUUGGAAAUCAAGACGUUGAAGAAUUGGUUGUUGAAGCUAGGGAUUCAAAGGCAUAUAGUGUGAAUGGCGGCGUGAGUGGCGCUGUGGCGGGGAUUCUCUACAAAUGGGUGAAUUACGGGAAGGGAUGGAGGUCGAGAUGGUUCGUGCUCGAGGAUGGAGUGCUAUCGUAUUAUAAGAUUCAUGGACCUGACAAGAUUUUGAUGAGUCCGGCGAGGGAGAAGGAUGUUAGGGUGAUCGGAGAGGAAUCUUUGAGGUACAUGAGAAAGGCCAAUUGGAGUAGUAAUCGACUCGGUUUGAGCGCCGCUGCAGCCGCCAGACAGUGCAAACCAUUCGGCGAAAUCCAUUUGAAGGUUUCAUCAGUUCGAGCAAGCAAAUCAGAUGAUAAAAGGCUUACCAUUUUCACUGGGACAAAAACUCUACACUUGCGAUGCGUAUCAAGAGAGGAUAGAGCAGCAUGGCUCGAGUCACUGCAGGCUGCUAAAGAUCUUUUCCCUAGAGUGUUGACGAGCAUUGAUUUUUCACCUUAUGAAGAUGUUGUUUCUACUGAGAAAUUAAAACAGCGCUUAUUGCAGGAGGGCAUUGGUGAAGCAGUCAUCCAAGACUGCGAGUCAAUUAUGCGCUUAGAACUCUUUGAGUUGCAAAAUCAGUUGAAGGCUCUUCGACAUAAACACUUAAUGUUGUUAGACACAUUGAGGCAGUUAGAGACAGAGAAAAUAGAGCUGGAAACUACUGUAGUGGAUGAAACAAAGGAGCGUGAAUCAUAUUGUGGACAGGCGAAUAGAAGAUUUAGUGAUUUCUACUCUGUCAUGUCUGAGGGCAGUCCAAGUGAUUCUGAAGUUGAUAAUGAAAGUCAAGAGGGACCAGAUGUUGAAACAGAUGAAGAUGAUGGGACAUUUUUUGAUACAAAUGACUUUUUCUCUUCUGAUGCUUUAAGAAGUGCCUCCUAUAGAAGUAGGGAAACUAUGGGAAAUGCAUGUGUAUAUGAUAACCCAUUUUUGUCUGAUAACUUACAUGGGGCAUUUGUGAAGGAAAUCAGGACAAUCCAAUAUCCAUUUGUUAAAAGAAGAGAUAAUUUGCCAGAACCAAAGGAAAAAGAGAAGCCUGUUGGCCUGUGGUCAAUUAUUAAGGACAAUAUUGGGAAGGACUUGUCUGGAGUUUGUCUUCCUGUUUAUUUUAAUGAACCACUCUCUUCGCUACAGAAGUGCUUUGAGGAUUUGGAAUAUUCAUACUUGGUUGAUCGAGCGCUGGAAUGGGGGAAGCAGGGGAAUGAAUUGAUGAGAAUUCUGAACAUUGCAGCUUUUGCUGUAUCUGGCUAUGCCUCAACAGAAGGACGGCAGUGCAAGCCCUUCAACCCUCUCCUAGGGGAGACCUAUGAAGCUGACUAUCCAGAUAAAGGGCUUCGUUUUUUCUCUGAAAAGGUAAGUCACCACCCAAUGAUUGUUGCUUGUCACUGUGAGGGAAGAGGCUGGAAAUUCUGGGCAGACUCCAAUAUCAAAGGGAAGUUUUGGGGGCGGUCUAUUCAGCUUGAUCCUGUUGGUGUCCUUACCCUGCAGUUUGAGGAUGGUGAGACCUUCCAGUGGAGCAAGGUCACCACUUCUAUAUACAACAUUAUACUUGGAAAACUAUAUUGUGAUCACUAUGGCACCAUGCGCAUCAAAGGUAGUGGCAAUUACUCUUGCAAGCUCAAGUUCAAAGAGCAGUCCAUAAUAGACCGAAAUCCUCAUCAGGUUCACGGAUUCGUACAAGAUAAUAGAACUGGAGAGAAGGUAGCAAUGUUAGUGGGAAAGUGGGAUGAAGCAAUGUACUAUGUACUAGGUGAUCCAGCUACAAAGCCAAAGGGGUAUGAUCCAAUGACAGAAGCUGUCUUGCUUUGGGAAAGAGACAAAUCAGUUACCAAGACAAGAUACAAUCUCACCCCUUUUGCGAUAUCCUUGAAUGAACUGACUCCUGGCUUGUUGGAGAAAUUGCCUCCCACUGACUCAAGGCUGAGGCCAGAUCAGAGACACCUCGAAAAUGGGGAAUAUGAGUUGGCAAAUGCAGAGAAGUUGAGACUUGAACAGUUACAAAGACAGGCAAGGAAGUUGCAGGAAAGGGGUUGGCAGCCAAGAUGGUUUCAUAAAGACGGCGAAGGUUGCUAUCGUUAUAUAGGGGGGUACUGGGAAGCAAAAGAGAGAAAGAAUUGGGAUGGAAUUCCUGAUAUAUUUGGCCAAAGUAGUGAUUCACCUUUACGUUUAGUUGAAGAAUGAUUGCCUUGGUUUCUCUAUUAAACUUUUGGUGGCAUCUUUCUAUUUCAUUAUACAAUUUCCUUUUCCCUUCGUUUCUCUCAUUCCUCAUCAUUGGGAACGCAAAAUGUGAUUUUAGAGUUAGCUUUUUUUGGCUUAGUUACAAUUUACAAGUUUCUCUUAAGUGUAAUCAUAUACUGAUGUAGGAAAUUAGCUUGUCUUAGAAACUUUGCAGAGGGGCAAUUUAUUUUUGUCCAUACUCUUGCAAACAGAAACUAUUUUCUUGUCCCCCCAAUUUUCUAUUAUUUUGCUUAGAUAUUGUAAAAUCUAUCUGAGACUUGUCCCUUUGUUCUCAAGGGGAAAGUAAGUUGAUGUAUUCUCUUGGUAUUCUUCGUGCUUGAAACAUUGAUCUUUUAUAUAUAUUGAUGACAAAAAUGACAUGAACGACGCAAAACUAUAUUUGGUGAGAGUAAAUGUUAUGAGAAAGCCUCUUUUUUUUUAAAAAAAAGGAAGAUGGUAUGAAAAUUUGCGUAUCCUGAUCAUUUCCACGCUUUCUUCCCGCGAAACUGUUUGCCAGAGCGGCUCUGUUUUCUCUUUUUGUCUUGCCGUGAUCUAGCUGCCCUGGCUCUCUUUGCAGCUGAGGGCAUCACCUUUUCAUGUUGCUUCUGUCUAUUACUCUUGCCUCCAGUCUUUUUCUGUUUUACAGCAGUUCGAGCUUGGUACUUUCCUGUAGCCUCCCUUCCUGCUCUUACCAGUGCCAACCUUUCUUCCUUGGUUAGCUUCUUCCGCACAUGAGCUUCAAGCUUAGCAGGAUCCAGCCGUUUAACACUCAGUUGAUCAGAGCUUGGAACUUUAAACCCUUGUCGAGCUAAGGCAAUUUUAGUUUCCUUCUUUGCCUUCAAUUCCUUGAUCCUUUGAAAGUCUUCAUUAGAAAGAAUACCGUCUUUCAAUUCUGUGGUGGUGUGAUUCAACUUUUCUUCUGCCAAUCUCUUUAGAGCUCGAAGACUUGUGUCAGCAGCAAUAAGUUGUCCAUUGAAAUCAGAAAACUUCCUCUUACUAGCUUUAGAUUUGUUAACUUCUAUCGUGCCCCUGUCAUCACUUUCACAAGAACUCUUUGCCUUUCCAUGCUCAUCCUCCUCCUCCUCAUCAUCAUCGUCAUCGUCAUCGCUGAUAUUGCUGUCAUUUUCAUCAAUAUUGUUAUCACCAUCUCCAUCAAUUGAAUCAUCUUGUAAACCGUCAUUCUCACUUCCAGUAUCAUCACUGUACAUCGGAUUUUCUUCAUCAUCACUGGCAGUAAUCAUCUCACCAUUAUCACUAUCAUCAUCAAGUGCACUGGAUAUCAAAUUAUCAAUAUCAUCACCAUCCUCAUUAAUUUCAUUGUGGUCCUCCUCCUCAACAUCAUCAUCUUCAUCAUCAUCAU
rnacentral:misc_RNA from 1 species